rnacentral:rRNA from 1 species
UGCCAGCCGCCGCGGUAAUACGGAGGGGGUUAGCGUUAAUCGGAAUUACUGGGCGUAAAGAGUACGUAGGCGGCUUUUCAAGUCGGAUGUGAAAGCCCUGAGCUUAACUCAGGAACUGCAUUCGAUACUGGAUCGCUAGAGUAUAUUAGAGGAUAGUGGAAUUUCAAGUGUAGCGGUGAAAUGCGUAGAUAUUUGAAGGAACACCAAUGGCGAAGGCAGCUAUCUGGAAUAAUACUGACGCUGAGGUACGAAAGCAUGGGUAGCGAAGAGGAUUAGAUA